GACGAACGCUGGCGGCGUGCUUAACACAUGCAAGUCGAACGGAAAGGCCCUGCUUUUGUGGGGUGCUCGAGUGGCGAACGGGUGAGUAACACGUGAGUAACCUGCCCUUGACUUUGGGAUAACUUCAGGAAACUGGGGCUAAUACCGGAUAGGAGCUCCUGCUGCAUGGUGGGGGUUGGAAAGUUUCGGCGGUUGGGGAUGGACUCGCGGCUUAUCAGCUUGUUGGUGGGGUAGUGGCUUACCAAGGCUUUGACGGGUAGCCGGCCUGAGAGGGUGACCGGCCACCAUGGGCCUGAGGUAGAGCCCCAACUCCUACGGGAGGCAGCAGUGGGGAAUAUUGCGCAAUGGGCGGAAGCCUGAUGCAGCAACGCCGCGUGCGGGAUGACGGCCUUCGGGUUGUAACCCGCUUUCGCCUGUGACGAAGCGUGAGUGACGGUAAUGGGUAAAGAAGCACCGGCUAACUACGUG
rnacentral:rRNA from 1 species